UAUAACACCACAUACACAGACAUGGAGACAGAAAGAGGAACAAUUAAAAAUUCAUAAGAAACUCUUUAAAAUAUCUGCUUGAUCAGGGUUCUGGUGGACCUGGGACUGAUUAGUCCCUGAUCUGGAUUACUUCUGAAGACAUGAGAAAGGUUGUGGAAGAAGAGAGCACACAGCUAGAGGGCUAGGCAUGUAUUUGUGAACACAACUCAAUGUCCUGAAUGUGCCUCUCUCCCAGGAGCACAGGGACUACUCUGCUGGGCAGGAGAACAAAUGAACUGAUGUUCCCAGGACUUCAAAAUUUGCCAUUCAGGGCACAUUCCCCUGGGAUUCAGGGUAUCCUCUAGCAGGAGCCACAACAUCAUCUGCUCACAGAAGGCAGUGUAGAAACGCAGCAUGCCUACAUGCUUCCUUCACGAUACCUCCUGUCAACUGUGUUGAACCAGUGCUGACAAGUCUCAUCACCCAAAGUCCACAGGUCAUGUCAAGGCUCACUUUUGGUGCUCUAAGUAAGUUGUUAUCAUUUUCUUUAUCUAAAAACUUUGAGAUAUUAAAAAAAUAGAGACAAAUUAAAAGUACUACAAUCCUGUACCCAAAUUUAAAUACCAUAAUAUUGAGUUUGCCAGUAUCUCUCAUCUUUUUGUGUAUGUGUGUGUACACGUAAGUGUUCUCUUGUUUUGACAGUGGAAUUUUAUAAAGCUAAUAAUGUGUUUCAGAUCUCUAAAGGGCUACCAGUUUUGCUCCUUCAAAGGCAAAUAUCAUCAUUACCAUCUUGUUUAUGCAGUUAUUUCUAGGGGCGACUGCUUCCCAGCAGACUUCCUGUAUCCUGGAC
rnacentral:lncRNA from 1 species